GAUGAAGAACGCAGCGAAAUGCGAUACGUAAUGUGAAUUGCAGAAUUCAGUGAAUCAUCGAAUCUUUGAACGCAUAUUGCGCUCUCUGGUAUUCCGGAGAGCAUGCUUGUUUGAGUAUCAGUAAACACCUCAACUUCCAUAUCUUUCUUGAAAUGGGAGUUGGACUUGAGUGAUCCCAACGCUUUUCCUCACCGAAAAGUGGCGGGUUACUUGAAAUGCAGGUGCAGCUGGACUUUUCUCUGAGCUAUAAGCAUAUCUAUUUAGUCUGCCUAAAAAACAGAUUAUUACCUUUGCUGCAGCUAACAUAAAGGAGAUUAGUUCUUGUGCUGACUGAUGCAGGAUUCACAAAGACGGCUUCGGCCGACUUUGUAAACUCGAUCUCAAAUCAAGUAAGACUACCCGCUGAACUUAAGCAUAUCAAUAAGCGGAGGA
rnacentral:misc_RNA from 1 species